rnacentral:rRNA from 1 species
UACGAAGGGUGCAAACGUUGUUCGGAAUUACUGGGCGUAAAGCGCGUGUAGGCGGUCGGGCAAGUCGGAUGUGAAAGCCCAGGGCUCAACCCUGGAAGUGCACUCGAUACUGCUCGGCUAGAGUCCCGGAGAGGAUGGUGGAACUCUCGGUGUAGAGGUGAAAUUCCGUAGAUAUCGAGAAGAACACCGGUGGCGAAGGCGGCCAUCUGGACGGUGACUGACGCUGAGACGCGAAAGCGUGGGAGCAACAGG